GAAUCAUAAUAACUUAACGAAUCGCAUGGCCUUGCGCCGGCGAUGGUUCAUUCAAAUUUCUGCCCUAUCAACUUUCGAUGGUAGGAUAGUGGCCUACCAUGGUGGCAACGGGUAACGGGGAAUUAGGGUUCGAUUCCGGAGAGGGAGCCUGAGAAACGGCUACCACAUCCAAGGAAGGCAGCAGGCGCGCAAAUUACCCAAUCCCGACACGGGGAGGUAGUGACAAUAAAUACUGAUACGGGGCUCUUUUGGGUCUCGUAAUUGGAAUGAGUACAAUCUAAAUCCCUUAACGAGGAACAAUUGGAGGGCAAGUCUGGUGCCAGCAGCCGCGGUAAUUCCAGCUCCAAUAGCGUAUAUUAAAGUUGUUGCAGUUAAAAAGCUCGUAGUUGAACCUUGGGUCUGGCUGGCCGGUCCGCCUCACCGCGAGUACUGGUCCGGCUGGACCUUUCCUUCUGGGGAAUCCCAUGGCCUUCACUGGCUGUGGGUGGAACCAGGACUUUUACUGUGAAAAAAUUAGAGUGUUCAAAGCAGGCCUUUGCUCGAAUACAUUAGCAUGGAAUAAUAGAAUAGGACGUGCGG
rnacentral:rRNA from 1 species